rnacentral:lncRNA from 11 species
ACAAGUGAAACUAGUAACUUUUUGUCAAGAGAAAUGCCGGGAACAAGUUCAGCAGUGGAGAAAAAGGUGGCAAGGGGUGAUUUCAGAGACCCAUACAGAGCUUGUUCAGGCUUCUUGCUGAGCUGUAACAAACGUACUGUAAGUAUUUUUCCAGAGUCACCCAAAAUCAGAUACAGCCAUUCCUCCACAUUUGUGGUUUUGAUAGAUUUGAUUAGUCAUGAUUUCAUUUAA